GGUGGGGAAAUAAAUCAUAAUAUCGAUGAGAGUAGAAUAUGAGACUAUAUACACUUCGACGCAUUGCUGUUCAGUCCGUGAUUUACAAGACUUUUGUGUCCGUGAUGCAAGAUUACAAAUCAUGACAUGAAGACAAAACAUUAACACUUUGACACAACUGGAGGACAGUACCUCACCACUCUCGUGAAAACUACAAGAUAAACUACAUCAACGCUCGUGACAUCUACAACAACUAGAAGACAAAGAAACAACAACUCAAGUCGUGACAUCUCUCAACGCUUGUGACAUCUCCACUCUCUCGUGUUCUGAACUUGGCUCCGACAUAGGUUCUUUGAGUACUCUCUCACCUGCAAUAACAAGAACAAGAACAUGUUAAACUCUUGAACAUAACCGCGCCAAUCACCACAUUUUAAACAUAACAAGAACCGCGCGAAGAACAAUAACAGGAACAUUUAGCAUUAAUAAGCACAAGAACAAUAGCGAGAACAAGUCACAAAACUACAUUUAGAUGCCCAUUUUAAGAAACAUAACCAUAAACAGAACAAGAGUCAUAACAAGAAACAUAACGAUAAACACAACAAGACGGAUAACAAGAAACAUAAGCAGAGUUUUAGCCGACUAACUAGCUAGACAUCAAGUAGACAUCAAGUCAGUGAUGAGUUUCUUCUUGAGGGCCUCUUCAUACUCAGCUAGAGGUUCCUGCUUCCCAGUAAGACUGUCAAGCAAACUCAUCUUAGACAACCGUUCCUUCAUCAACAAUUCUGUUUGAUUGUCCACAUACUAUGAAACGCAUUCAGAGAAUUCACCUAUACCACCUUCUUCUUAGAACUCGCCUUUGCGGCCUUAACACCCGGGGGGCGUUUGUUCUCAGUUGCUUGAGAGGCUGAUGAGUCUCCACCGUCAUCACACUUCCUCUUCUUCGAACUGGGACGUUUAGCAGUGUCAAGGGCGCACCACUUCUGGUCAUUGCGCAGCUCCUUCCAUGCGUGGUCAAGCAUGAAUCUCUUCUGGUGAUUGUUGUAGAAGAUUUGAUGUGCUAGCUUGAGAACAUCAUUCUCGUUUUGGCCACUACUUUUCUCCCUAGUGGCAGCCUCAUACGCUCCACAGAAUUUGGACACAAGGUCGUUGAUCCUGUGCCAACGCUGCAGUGGGUCGGCUCUCUCUGUUCGCAGCCAGCAUCAGUCCCUUGGCUCUCUCUGGUUGCCUCAAAGUAGGCAGCAAUUCUUGACCAAAAGGCCUGAUCUUUGCUCGUUCCCAACCACUGGGUCUUUGCUCGUGUUUAACCACGAGCUGAUGAGCAAAAUAUCAUCCUUUGGUGUCCAUUUCCGUCGCUCUCUUCGCUCUGUAGCUGUCUCUCCAUCAAAGUUAGAGGCUUCGGUACCAAAUGAGCAUUGAAAUGGAAGUUGUGAUGAAGAUAGUUCAACACUAUCUUCAUUGUUUCCAAAGGAAAGAGUUUGUUGACUAUUUAAUAGUUCAACAAACUUUGAGCUUGAAGCAGAUUGAUUGGAAUCCAAACGAAGGAAGAGUGAUAGAAAAGAAAGAGCUGAGAUUGUUAUAGAAUGAAUAGGAAGAGAAGAGAAGAACACGGUUUUGGAAUGAAUUGAACAAAGAAGAGAAGCCAAGACUUUUAUAGAAUCAAUAGAAGAAGAAACGCAUUGAUAGCCAACCAUAACCGAGUUGACAUAUUUCUAACACCAACAAACACAAGACCAUUCAUUUCUAUCUAACCACAAACCAAUAAACAGCUAUUUAUUACCUAACCUAACACAUAAUUACCAUUCAAUUCAUUUCACAGAAGAGAUAGCAAUCAAGGACAAUCGCAACAUAUUUCUAAUACCACAAACCACUAUAGCAAACAAGAGAUUGCAAUGCUUUAUCCAAUUCAAACAGAGGAAAGACAAUGGUAUUAUCCUACUCUCCAAUUCAAACAGAGCAAAGACGUUUUUAAAAAGCAACAAUAAUGAAGAAAUUAAACAGAGCACAAUGGUAUUAUCCAACUCUCUAAUUCAGUUCAAGCCACAAUUAAAUCCUACUCUCCAAUUCAAACAGAGCAAAGACGUUUUUAAAAAGCAACAAUAAUGAAGAAAUUAAACAGAGCACAAUGGUAUUAUCCAACUCUCUAAUUCAGUUCAAGCCACAAUUAAAUCCUACUCUACAAUUCAAGACGUUUUUAAAAAGCAAGCGCAACCAAACUCACAAUUAAAUCCAACAGCAAGCGCAACCAAACUCACAAACAACCAUCGAAUAUAAACAAUGGUUUAUCCUAUUCAACAGACCAAAUAGAUUGAUUUUAUCCGAUUCAAAAGAUCAAAGACAAAGGUUUUACCUUUUACAAACGAUCAUGGGGGUUUUGUCUGAGAAAUAGGACGGCUCUCUCUGGAUCGUGCCUCUUGAUCAAACCAUCUGAAGACACAACGACAGACAAAAUUACAACAAGUCAGUCGAUUGAGCUUCUCUAGAUUCAGGAUGAAAUACAACAAUCUAAAGACAUGCAUGAAUGAAAUAUUAAAACAGUGAGACAUAUGAACUCAUCUUUGCCUUUCGAUUCGCCGACGGUCACCGUUUAGCGACGCCUCCGACAGCAACCACGAGAGACAUCUCGCCGUUUUUCUUGGUCGACGAUAGCAACCGUUAGAGGGGACGCCGUUUUCCUUCGACUACAUGAGCCACCGAGAAACCCGCCGUUGGUUGAGUCGAGCCACCGAGAAGAAGAGAUAUCGCCUUUUCGUCUCCGGAGAGGAGAGA
rnacentral:lncRNA from 1 species